UCCACCCGCGCACAUUAGACAUUCGCCAUCGGUUGCAGCGUUCUUCCCUUUGAAAUCUCACUUCAGCUUUUCGCCUCUCCCUCUUCCACCUCUCACUCUCCUCCCUCUUCUGCUUCAAAAAAAGAAGCGCUAACCGCCAUGGGAGAAGAUCUGGACCGUUCAUCUUCACCUGGAAAAGAUCCAUCAACGAUAACUACUCGUAAAAUAUCUGUCCACCAAUCUCUCGGAGGUGGCCCAGUUGCUGACGUUCUUCUGUGGAAGCGGCGGAGUGCCGGAGUCUUUCUGCUCCUCGCCGCAAGCACAGUUUGGUUCCUUUUUGAAAGAGCUGGACACAGCCUGCUGUCGCUUGUUGCAAAUGUACUCCUGCUUCUUGUCGUAAUUCUCUUUUUCUGGGCGAAGUCGGCAUCUCUUCUUAACAGACCUCUUCCUCCUCUUCCAAAUCUGGAAGUUUCUGAGGACUUCGUAGGAAAGGUUGCUGAUGCUUCUCGGGAUUGGAUCAAUCAUGUACUAGCAAUCGCGCAUAAUAUUGCUCUGGGGAGAGAUGCGAAGCUCUUCGCUAAGGUUGUUGUUGCACUCUGGCUGGUUUCAUAUGUUGGUGGCCUGUUCAGUUUUCUGACACUUGUCUACAUUGGGAUUGUUCUUGCACUAUCAGUUCCAGCUUUGUAUGAUCGGUACCAAGAUCGUGUUGACGAAAAAUUGUGUGCAACACAUAAAGUUCUCUUAACAUGGUAUAGACAGAUAGAUAGCACUGUCCUAAGCAGGAUUCCAUUGCCCUCAAACAAGGAGAAGAAGACCCAAUAGCAUGAUGCUUUCUAGAUGGAUCAGACCUUGGGUUUUGAGCAGUAGGCUAUCCAAGAGGUGGCUAUUCUAAUUGGAUGGCCUGGAUCUAUGAGCAUAUUCAUCGAUGACAGCCCAUGAAAGAUCUCAUCACAACUUCCUGGUAUACAUCUGCUUCGAAGUUAAAGGACCCUGCCAGCCUUCGUAUGUGACUACUGUUACUUGGAAGACCUUCAAUCACUGAUUCUGUUUUGCCGAAGUGAUGUAACCAGCUGUCUGAAAUUUUUGAUUGUUUAAUAGUUUCUCGUUAUGAUUAGUUACGUGUGGAUUGAAACGUUUAUGAAGUUAAAAAAUUGGUUUCCUCUCGAGUUGAUAUUCA